CUGCUGCCUCCCGUAGGAGUCUGGUCCGUGUCUCAGUACCAGUGUGGGGGACCUUCCUCUCAGAACCCCUACGCAUCGUCGGUUAGGUGGGCCGUUACCCCGCCUACUGCCUAAUGCGCCGCAUGCCCAUCCCUGUCCGGCCGAAGCCUUUACUGCCUCCGGGAUGCCCCGGUGGCAUGUACGCGGGUUUAGCCCGCCUUUCGGCGGGUUGUCCCCCUGACAGGGGCAGGUUGCAUACGUGUUACUCACCCGUGCGCCGGUCGCCGGCGGAGAAAG
rnacentral:rRNA from 1 species